AGCAGCCGCGGUAAUUCCAGCUCCAAUAGCGUAUAUUAAAGUUGUUGCAGUUAAAAAGCUCGUAGUUGAAUUUCGGGACUAAUAUGUCGGUCGUACUUUGUACGUACUAGCAUUAUUGGUUUCUCCCUUCUGACGAACCACGAUGUCAUUAAUUUGGUGUCAUGGGAAAUCAGGACUGUUACUUUGAAAAAAUUAGAGUGUUUAAAGCAAGCUCGCGCUUGAAUACAUUAGCAUGGAAUAAUGAAAUAGGACGUUUGAUUCUAUUUUGUUGGUUUCUAGGAUCGACGUAAUGAUUAAUAGGGAUAGUUGGGGGCAUUAGUAUUCAAUUGUCAGAGGUGAAAUUCUUGGAUUUAUUGAAGACUAACUACUGCGAAAGCAUUUGCCAAGGAUGUUUUCAUUAAUCAAGAACGAAAGUUAGGGGAUCGAAGACGAUCAGAUACCGUCGUAGUCUUAACCAUAAACUAAUGCCGACUAGGGAUCGGGUGAUAUAAUUUUUAAUGACUCAUUCGGCGCCUUACGG
rnacentral:rRNA from 1 species